rnacentral:rRNA from 1 species
UGCGUAGGUGGCGUGGUAAGUUUGAUGUGAAAGCUCAGGGCUUAACCCUGAAAUGGCAUUGAAUACUACCGUGCUGGAGGUUUGGAGGGGGGACUGGAAUUCUCGGUGUAGCAGUGAAAUGCGUAGAUAUCGAGAGGAACACCAGUGGCGAAGGCGAGUCCCUGGACAACACCUGACACUGAGGCACGAAAGCCGGGGGAGCAAACA